GAUGAACGCUGGCGGCGUGCCUAAUACAUGCAAGUCGAGCGAACAGACGAGGAGCUUGCUCCUCUGACGUUAGCGGCGGACGGGUGAGUAACACGUGGAUAACCUACCUAUAAGACUGGGAUAACUUCGGGAAACCGGAGCUAAUACCGGAUAAUAUAUUGAACCGCAUGGUUCAAUAGUGAAAGACGGUUUUGCUGUCACUUAUAGAUGUAUCCGCGCCGCAUUAGCUAGUUGGUAAAUUAACGGUUUACCAAGGCAACGAUGCGUAUCCGACGUGAGAGGGUAAUCGCCGACAGUAGAACAGAGACAUGGAACAGAUUCAUAAGGAAGGCAGAAGUAGGGAAUAUUAAGAAAAGGGCGAAAGCCUGAAGGAACAACGGCGCGUGAGUAAUGAAGGUCUUCGGAUCGUAAAAAUCUGUUAAUAGGGAAGAACAAAUGUGUAAGUAACUAUGCACGUAUUGACGGUACCUAAUCAGAAAGCCAAGGCUAACUACGUG
rnacentral:rRNA from 1 species